GGUGGCUCAGUGUUAGAGUACUUGCCUUGCAUGCAUGAGGCCCUGGGUUCAAUUCCUCAGCACCA
rnacentral:tRNA from 1 species